UACAGAGGUGCCAAGCGUUGUUCGGAUUUAUUGGGCGUAAAGGGUGCGUAGGUGGUCAUGCAAGUCGGGUGUGAAAGCCCGGGGCUCAACUCCGGAAUUGCCUUUAAGACUGCAUCGCUAGAAUUGUGGAGAGGUAAGUGGAAUUCCGAGUGUAGCAGUGAAAUGCGUAGAUAUCGAGAGGAACACCAGUGGCGAAGGCGAGCCUCUGGACAAUUCCUGACGCUGAGGCACGAAAGCCAGGGGAGCAAACGGG
rnacentral:rRNA from 1 species